UACGAAGGGGGCUAGCGUUGCUCGGAAUCACUGGGCGUAAAGGGUGCGUAGGCGGGUCUUUAAGUCAGGGGUGAAAUCCUGGAGCUCAACUCCAGAACUGCCUUUGAUACUGAGGAUCUUGAGUUCGGGAGAGGUGAGUGGAACUGCGAGUGUAGAGGUGAAAUUCGUAGAUAUUCGCAAGAACACCAGUGGCGAAGGCGGCUCACUGGCCCGAUACUGACGCUGAGGUGGCGAAAGCGU
rnacentral:rRNA from 1 species